rnacentral:tRNA from 1 species
GCCGGGGUGGCGGAACCGGUAGACGCGGCAGACUCAAAAUCUGUUGCCCGCGGAGGGCGUGCGGGUUCGAGUCCCGCCCCCGGCACCA